rnacentral:rRNA from 1 species
AGUGAACGCUGGCGGUAGGCCUAACACAUGCAAGUCGAACGGCAGCACAGGAGAGCUUGCUCUCUGGUGGCGAGUGGCGGACGGGUGAGGAAUACAUCGGAAUCUACUCUGUCGUGGGGGAUAACGUAGGGAAACUUACGCUAAUACCGCAUACGACCUACGGGUGAAAGCAGGGGAUCUUCGGACCUUGCGCGAUUGAAUGAGCCGAUGUCGGAUUAGCUAGUUGGCGGGGUAAAGGCCCACCAAGGCGACGAUCCGGAGCUGGUCUGAGAGGAUGAUCAGCCACACUAGAACUGAGACACGAUCCAGACUCCUACGGGAGGCAGCAGUGGGGAAUAUUGGACAAUGGGCGCAAGCCUGAUCCAGUCAUACCGCGGGGGUGAAGAAGGCCUUCGGGUUGUAAAGCCCUUUUGUUGGGAAAGAAAUCCAGCUGGCUAAUACCCGGUUGGGAUGACGGUACCCAAAGAAUAAGCACCGGCUAACUUCGUGCCAGCCGCCGCCGUAA